GGGCCCGCACAAGCGGUGGAGUAUGUGGUUUAAUUCGAUGCAACGCGAAGAACCUUACCAGGGUUUGACAUCCUGCGAAUUUCUGAGAAACCGGAAAGUGCCUUCGGGAGCGCAGUGACAGGUGGUGCAUGGCUGUCGUCAGCUCGUGUCGUGAGAUGUUGGGUUAAGUCCCGCAACGAGCGCAACCCACGUCUUUAGUUGCCAGCAUUUAGUUGGGCACUCUAGAGAGACCGCCGGUGAUAAACCGGAGGAAGGUGUGGAUGACGUCAAGUCAUCAUGCCCCUUACAUCCUGGGCUACACACGUGCUACAAUGGUAGUGACAAUGGGUUAAUCCCAAAAAGCUAUCUCAGUUCGGAUUGUCGUCUGCAACUCGACGGCAUG
rnacentral:rRNA from 1 species